rnacentral:snRNA from 1 species
ACAAAGCAUUGCGAUGGUCC